rnacentral:rRNA from 1 species
CCUACGGGAGGCAGCAGUGGGGAAUAUUGCGCAAUGGGCGAAAGCCUGACGCAGCGACGCCGCGUGAGGGAUGAAGGUCUUCGGAUCGUAAACCUCUGUCAGCAGGGAAGAACGGUCACUGUGCUAAUCAGCAGUGAAUUGACGGUACCUGCAAAGGAAGCACCGGCUAACUCCGUGACAGCAGACGCGGUAAUACGUAGGGUGCGAGCGUAAAUCGGAAUUACGGGGCGGAAAGCGCGCGUAGGCGGUAUGUCAAGUCAAGGGUGAAAUCCCCGCGCUCAACGUGGGAACUGCCUUUUAAACUGGCAAACUGGAGUGUGUGAGAGGAUAGUGGAAUUCCAGGUGUAGGAGUGAAAUCCGUAGAUAUCUGGAGGAACAUCAGUGGCGAAGGCGACUAUCUGGCACAUAACUGACGCGGAGGAGCGAAAGCGUGGGUAGCAAACAGGAUUAGAUACCCUAGUAGUC